rnacentral:rRNA from 1 species
GAUGAACGCUGGCGGCGUGCCUAAUACAUGCAAGUCGAGCGAACAGAUGAGGAGCUUGCUCCUCUGACGUUAGCGGCGGACGGGUGAGUAACACGUGGAUAACCUACCUAUAAGACUGGGAUAACUUCGGGAAACCGGAGCUAAUACCGGAUAAUAUAUUGAACCGCAUGGUUCAAUAGCGAAAGACGGUUUUGCUGUCACUUAUAGAUGGAUCCGCGCCGCAUUAGCUAGUUGGUAAGGUAACGGCUUACCAAGGCAACGAUGCGUAGCCGACCUGAGAGGGUGAUCGGCCACACUGGAACUGAGACACGGUCCAGACUCCUACGGGAGGCAGCAGUAGGGAAUCUUCCGCAAUGGGCGAAAGCCUGACGGAGCAACGCCGCGUGAGUGAUGAAGGUCUUCGGAUCGUAAAACUCUGUUAUUAGGGAAGAACAAAUGUGUAAGUAACUAUGCACGUCUUGACGGUACCUAAUCAGAAAGCCACGGCUAACUUCGUG